CAUGGCUCAGGAUGAACGCUGACAGAAUGCUUAACACAUGCAAGUCAAUGGGGAAACGGUGCUUGCACCGUGAUAACCAUGGCGGACGGGUGAGUAACGCGUAAAGAACUUGCCUCUUAGUCUGGGAUAACAGAUGGAAACGACUGAUAAGACUAGAUAUUAUUAAAGUUUCGCAUGAAGCUUUAAUGAAAAGAGAUGCUAAGAGAGAGCUUUGCGUCCUAUUAGUUAGUUGGUGAGGUAACGGCUCACCAAGACGAAGAUAGGUAGCCGGUCUGAGAGGAUGAACGGCCACAAGGGGACUGAGAUACGGCCCUUACUCUUACGG
rnacentral:rRNA from 1 species